rnacentral:tRNA from 1 species
UACGCUUUAGUAUAAAAUGUACAGGAAUUUUUGAUGUUCUUAGGGAUAGUUUAAUUCUAUCAGGUGUAA